UAGCUCUGUUGGUAGAGCGCCUCACUUCGCACGGAGGAGGUCGUGGGUUCGAAUCCCACA
rnacentral:tRNA from 1 species